UCCCCUUGUAGCCGUCAUGGCCUAUCCUCACCUCGCCGCCAUAGACCAGCCCUCACCUCCCCUUCUCCCCACCGCCUAGCUUCAGAUCGACUCCUUCCAUCACCUCUCCACAGCAGCUAUGGCUGGGGAGGCUGGAGAUGUUUUGCUCCUCUCACCCCUUUCUAUCAUCCCGUAAUGUGCAAGUGCACCCAGAUCUCUCGCCAGGUCUGGCGGCGUCGUGCAACACUCAUGGGCUACGACUCUAGUACGCUAGCGGUGGUGGCAGGCAAUGGCGAGUGUACUGAUGGUCGAGCGGCAGCGCGGGCUAAUGGGUUCGGCUCUGUUCUCGUUCGCCAUUUACUAUACUGUACUACUCAACAAGUUAAGGUGUCCUGCAAUCCCCAUCUAUUCUAGUUUAAUUGAUUUCUGAUGUCAAAUCUUAGAUAGCUAAGAUGUCAAAAUUGGUACGAUGCACACAACUAUGCUGGAAAUACUACCACAAGGGAUAGUAUUAGUAGCUUCGCUUAAUUUGUACACCUAGUUAUUCAGGAACAAAGUAAGAUGAGGAAAUACGUGCAUAUUUAGAUGAUGCAAAACAUUGCCAUGGUUUGUGCCACACUAGACUAUUUGAAUCUUGGUAAGGUACCAGAAAUAUCUUCCCUGAUAACAGAGGCCUAAUGAACACAGGGUGGAUUCAGACUGAUGAGGCUGUCCAAGAUUGCUCGGAACAAGGCGAAAUUGGUGAAGCACGAAGCCCUUGUCGAUGGCUUCAGUAAAUCCAGUUUCAAAAACAAUAAAAUGAGAAACAUUCAGAUAAGGCUUCGUUGACAAACAUAUUAUACUCUUCUGCAAUUCAGGUUACUACACUGUGCUUGUUUGUUUGAGCUGUACAGAAAUGAAGUGUUCGACUCGAGCAUCAACACAUAAGCCUUGCUUCAUCCUUUAUGGGGAGUGUCAAGCAAUAUUAGAAGCGGUCCGAGCUAUUAAAAUGAUCAUGACACUGAUGAUGAGGAGGAUGACAUCUAUGGCAACGAGGGAGAUGAUAGCUGUGGCGAUAAGCAUUAUGAUAAAGUAAAGAUCUGAAGUUUGUUGAAAAUUUAGCUUAUGCAAAUUGUCUGGACCUCUCUAAUACUAUUUUUUUGAUUCGACACUUCCUAGAUGGAUUGUUAUUGUAAAUGUAAUUCAUAUGCAACUCAUUAGGUUUGUAAUACCUAGAUUAUGCUAAAUGUUCUUUUGGUCA